rnacentral:rRNA from 1 species
UGGGGAAUAUUGGACAAUGGGCGAAAGCCUGAUCCAGCCAUGCCGCGUGAGUGACGAAGGCCUUAGGGUUGUAAAACUCUUUCGUCGGGGACGAUAAUGACGGUACCCGAAGAAGAAGCUCCGGCUAACUUCGUGCCAGCAGCCGCGGUAAUACGAAGGGAGCUAGCGUUGUUCGGAAUCACUGGGCGUAAAGCGCACGUAGGCGGAUAGUUAAGUCAGGGGUGAAAUCCUGGGGCUCAACCCCAGAACUGCCUUUGAUACUGGCUGUCUCGAGGUCGAGAGAGGUUGGUGGAAUUCCUAGUGUAGAGGUGAAAUUCGUAGAUAUUAGGAAGAACACCAGUGGCGAAGGCGGCCAACUGGCUCGAUACUGACGCUGAGGUGCGAAAGCG